GCAUAUCAAUAAGCGGAGGAAAAGAAACUAACAAGGAUUCCCCUAGUAACUGCGAGUGAAGCGGGAAAAGCUCAAAUUUAAAAUCUGACAGUCUUUGGCUGUCCGAGUUGUAGUCUGGAGAAGCGCUUUCCGUGCUGGACCGUGUACAAGUCUUCUGGAACGGAGCGUCAUAGAGGGUGAGAAUCCCGUCUUUGACACGGACUACCAGUGCUUUGUGAUGCGCUCUCAAAGAGUCGAGUUGUUUGGGAAUGCAGCUCAAAAUGGGUGGUAAACUCCAUCUAAAGCUAAAUAUUGGCGAGAGACCGAUAGCGAACAAGUACCGUGAGGGAAAGAUGAAAGGACUUUGGAAGAGAGUUAAACAGUACGUGAAUGCUGAAAGGAAACGCUUGAAUCAGUCGCGUUGGCUAGAAUUCAGCCUGGCUUUUGCUUGGUAUAUUUCUAGUGAACGGGCCAGCAUCAUUUUUGGCUGCGGGAAAAAGGUCUCAGGAAUGUGGCACCUUCGGGUGUGUUAUAGCCUGGGAUCGUAUGCCGUGGCUGGGAGUGAGGAACUCAGCACGCCUUUUUGGCGGGGCUUCGGCCACCUUCGUGCUUAGGAUGCUGGCGUAAUGGCUUUAAACGACCCGUCUUGAAACACGGACCAAGGAGUCUAACAUGCCUGCGAGUGUUUGGGUGGUAAACCCGAGCGCGCAAUGAAAGUGAUAGUUGGGACCUCUAUCAAUGGAGGGCACCGACGCCCGGACCAGACCUUCUGUGACGGAUCCGCGGUAGAGCAUGUAUGUUGGGACCCGAAAGAUGGUGAACUAUGCCUGAAUAGGGUGAAGCCAGAGGAAACUCUGGUGGAGGCUCGUAGCGAUUCUGACGUGCAAAUCGAUCGUCAAAUUUGGUAUAGGGCGAAAGACUAAUCGACCAUCUAGUA
rnacentral:rRNA from 2 species